AGUGGGGAAUAUUGCGCAAUGGGGGAAACCCUGACGCAGCGACGCCGCGUGCGGGAAGAAGGCCUUCGGGUCGUAAACCGCUGUCAGGAGGGAAGAAACUGUUGGAGUCGAAUAGGCUCUUUCACUGACGGUACCUCCAGAGGAAGCACCGGCUAACUCCGUGCCAGCAGCCGCGGUAAUACGGAGGGUGCGAGCGUUAAUCGGAAUCACUGGGCGUAAAGCGUACGUAGGUGGCAUGGUAAGUCAGACGUGAAAGCCCUCGGCUCAACCGAGGAAUUGCGUUUGAUACUGCUUUGCUAGAGUCUCGGAGAGGUUGGCGGAAUUCCAGGUGUAGGAGUGAAAUCCGUAGAUAUCUGGAGGAACACCAGUGGCGAAGGCGGCCAACUGGACGAGUACUGACACUGAGGUACGAAAGCGUGGGUAGCAAACAGGAUUAGAUACCCUGGUAGUCCACGCCGUAAACGAUGGAUAUUAGGUGUCGGGGGUAACCCUUCGGUGCCGUAGUUAACGCGUUAAAUAUCCCGCCUGGGGAGUACGGUCGCAAGGCUG
rnacentral:rRNA from 1 species